UACGUAGGGGGCAAGCGUUGUCCGGAAUCAUUGGGCGUAAAGCGCGUGUAGGCGGCUCGGUAAGUCUGCUGUGAAAGUCCAGGGCUCAACCCUGGGAUGCCGGUGGAUACUGUCGAGCUCGAGUCCGGAAGAGGCGAGUGGAAUUCCUGGUGUAGCGGUGAAAUGCGCAGAUAUCAGGAGGAACACCAAUAGCGAAGGCAGCUCGCUGGGACGUUACUGACACUGAGGCGCGAAAGCGUGGGGAGCGAACAGG
rnacentral:rRNA from 1 species